AAGAUUAGAUUUCUUAGGGUCGUCAAAGACGAUGACGUUGAUAGGAUGCAGGUGUACAGGUGGUAACAUCAUAGCCGAGCAUUACUAAUUGCCCGUCCACUUUCUUUU
rnacentral:rRNA from 1 species